rnacentral:lncRNA from 1 species
UCGUAAUCAUGAUUUAGAGGUGCAGUAUAUUGUAGACACAGUAAGGAAGAGGGUUGAUGGAGAAAUGAGAUCUCCAUGGAAGAACAAGAAGAGAAAGGCCGAACUGGGUAAGAGUAAUGAUUUUUGGAUCAUUGUUUGCUUGUUGAUUAUUGUAAUAGUGUAAUAAGUAGUUGGGUUACUUGAAUUGUUAUUAUUGUCGACUAGGGUUUGUAGGAGUCUUGUGGAAUGAAAAAAGGGCCAGAUUGAACUUUAUGUAUUAGUGACAAAUUAUGGUUGACAAAAUUGUUUAAUGUUGAUUGUAUGGGCCUACAAAUGAUUUGGGGUGUUUUUGAAGUCAAUGUUUAUGCUGUACAAACCCUAAUGCUCCCUGUAUUGAAAACAUUGUGGUUCUCGAUCCACUAUGAAAUGUGUAAAAAAAUAAAUUAUUAAAUUAAAAUUUUUUUCUUUG